rnacentral:rRNA from 1 species
GUAGGGAGCGAGCGUUGUCCGGAAUUACUGGGUGUAAAGGGAGCGUAGGCGGGCGAGAAAGUUGAAUGUUAAAUCUACCGGCUUAACUGGUAGCUGCGUUCAAAACUUCUUGUCUUGAGUGAAGUAGAGGCAGGCGGAAUUCCUAGUGUAGCGGUGAAAUGCGUAGAUAUUAGGAGGAACACCAGUGGCGAAGGCGGCCUGCUGGGCUUUAACUGACGCUGAGGCUCGAAAGCGUGGGGAGCAAAC